AGGACGAACGCUGGCGGCGUGCUUAACACAUGCAAGUCGAGCGGUAAGGCCCUUCGGGGUACACGAGCGGCGAACGGGUGAGUAACACGUGAGCAAUCUGCCCUUCACUCCGGGAUAGCCUCGGGAAACUGAGAUUAAUACCGGAUACAACCACUUCGGGCAUCCGACGGUGGUGGAAAGUUCUGGCGGUGAAGGAUGAGCUCGCGGCCUAUCAGCUUGUUGGCGGGGUAAUGGCCCACCAAGGCUUCGACGGGUAGCCGGCCUGAGAGGGUGACCGGCCACACUGGGACUGAGACACGGCCCAGACUCCUACGGGAGGCAGCAGUGGGGAAUAUUGGACAAUGGGCGAAAGCCUGAUCCAGCAACGCCGCGUGAGGGAUGACGGCCUUCGGGUUGUAAACCUCUUUCAGCAGGGACGAAGCGAAAGUGACGGUACCUGCAGAAGAAGCACCGGCCAACUACGUGCCAGCAGCCGC
rnacentral:rRNA from 1 species